rnacentral:lncRNA from 10 species
CAUGGAGGCUGCUAUAGGACAUAUAGGCUCCAGAGAGAGACAAGGAGAUGAGGAGACAAGCAGACGAACAGCGGAACAAUGCAGCAGAGAAAGAGAGAAGAGAAGGAACGUCUGAACGUCGAGAGGAGUUCGGCUGCUGGACGGCCAAACUCCAGGGGAAGAUCAUCUUCCCACUCCAUUCCCCCUCCAGCUCCCCAUCCAUCCCACUGAGAGCCACUUCCACCACUCAAUAAAAGCCCCA